AAAACGGUCCUUUUAAGGACCAUAAUCUUUUCGACAUUGAAAGAAU
rfam:Sarcoptes scabiei Contig12412, whole genome shotgun sequence.